rnacentral:misc_RNA from 1 species
GGAAAAACAAUCCCUAACUCUGUCUGGCUAUAGCGUAGUCGAAUUUGCAACGACCGUAGAACAGUGGAUAGUGUCAAACUUUGGGACAUAUUUCUGGCGGUUUUCACUGGACGUGCGGGGUCCAGGGAUGCCGCGGCGUCGCUAACAGCAAAACAGUGGGCAUCUAUUCCGCGGAUUCUUCCCACUACCCCCGUGUUUCCCUCGCCGCGUACCGUAGCCCUGGUACACGUGCGCGCACCGUUGUCACCCUCGCGACGAUAGUCGGAGAAAAAAUCCACGUGCUGAGAGGACAGGGUAC